UUUUUUAGGGGAGUCUUAGGUUAGGCUAGCACCACCAAAUUAAGCCGCAAGGGCGGCAAAUAAAAACCCCCCGGCACUGGGCAUGUUAGUGAUGACAACUUAGGGUAUCGGGAAUCCAACCGAAGACCCGUACACGGAAUUAGGACACUUUCAAGACUUUAAAAAUAUCCGUUGGGGGGCAACUUUUAGGCCCCCAAUCGGGGUUAAUCCAGCUCCCAUUGCGAUUAUAACAGCUGUUGCGGUUAAAAAGGUCGGAGUUGGGCAUGUGCUCCACGCUGCCAGUUCAACCGCCCGUCGGUGUCCAACCUGCAUGCACGAGCGGACGUUCUGCCGGUGGCCCGACCCAGCGCCGCGGGUGAGGCGGGCGGCGACGCCACCCCGCCUCGGGUCGUCUCGGGGAGGGCCUACACAAUCCCGUCGCGGUGCUCUUGACCGAGUGUCUCGAUGGGCCGGCACGUUUACUUUGAACAAAUUAGAGUGCUUAAAGCAGGCAGCAGCCGCCUGAAUACCGAGUGCAUGGAAUAAUGGAAUAUGACCUCGGUUCUAUUUUGUUUGUUUUCGGAAUCCACGAGGUAACUAUCAAUAGGGCACAUAUUUAGAGCACUCUUUGUGAGAGUAAUAAAAAAACUUAAUUAAGA
rnacentral:rRNA from 1 species